AAUACAUCGGAACGUGCCCGAUCGUGGGGGAUAACGAAGCGAAAGCUUUGCUAAUACCGCAUACGAUCUACGGAUGAAAGCGGGGGAUCUUCGGACCUCGCGCGGACGGAGCGGCCGAUGGCAGAUUAGGUAGUUGGUGGGGUAAAGGCCUACCAAGCCGACGAUCUGUAGCUGGUCUGAGAGGAUGAUCAGCCACACUGGGACUGAGACACGGCCCAGACUCCUACGGGAGGCAGCAGUGGGGAAUUUUGGACAAUGGGGGCAACCCUGAUCCAGCCAUGCCGCGUGCAGGAUGAAGGCCUUCGGGUUGUAAACUGCUUUUGUACGGAACGAAAAGACUCUUUCUAAUAAAGAGGGUCCAUGACGGUACCGUAAGAAUAAGCACCGGCUAACUACGUGCCAGCAGCCGCGGUAAUACGUAGGGUGCAAGCGUUAAUCGGAAUUACUGGGCGUAAAGCGUGCGCAGGCGGUUAUGUAAGACAGAGGUGAAAUCCCCGGGCUCAACCUGGGAACGGCCUUUGUGACUGCAUAGCUAGAGUACGGUAGAGGGGGAUGGAAUUCCGCGUGUAGCAGUGAAAUGCGUAGAUAUGCGGAGG
rnacentral:rRNA from 1 species